GGAUCCUCUACGUCGGGCUGGCGACUCUAAAACUAGCGCUUGGUGGGAGGCAACCCACCGUGGUUUGGUUUUUGUUUUUGUUUUUCUUGUUCUUUGUUUUCCGUUUUUGUUUUGGUGUUUCCUAAGUUUUUGGUUGCUUGUGCGGAUACUUUGAUUCUUGGUGUUCAUGAUUUUUCUUUUCAGCGCUGCAAUUCUUUUCUAACUUUGCCGCCAGCGCUGCC
rnacentral:lncRNA from 1 species